rnacentral:rRNA from 1 species
GACGAACGCUGGCGGCGUGCUUAACACAUGCAAGUCGAACGGAAAGGCCCUGCUUUUGUGGGGUGCUCGAGUGGCGAACGGGUGAGUAACACGUGAGUAACCUGCCCUUGACUUUGGGAUAACUUCAGGAAACUGGGGCUAAUACCGGAUAGGAGCUCCUGCUGCAUGGUGGGGGUUGGAAAGUUUCGGCGGUUGGGGAUGGACUCACGGCUUAUCAGCUUGUUGGUGGGGUAGUGGCUUACCAAGGCUUUGACGGGUAGCCGGCCUGAGAGGGUGACCGGCCACAUUGGGACUGAGAUACGGCCCAGACGCCUACGGGAGGCAGCAGUGGGGAAUAUUGCACAAUGGGCGGAAGCCUGAUGCAGCAACGCCGCGUGCGGGAUGACGGCCUUCGGGUUGUAAACCGCUUUCGCCUGUGACGAAGCGUGAGUGACGGUAAUGGGUAAAGAAGCACCGGCUAACUACGUG